CACUAGCGGGUCACAGAGCCGCGGUGGGCAGAGCAGGGCGCCCCCUCAGUUGGCCACGGAGGCUGAGCUCCUGGAGUCCCGGGAGCCCGCUCACCGAAGAGGUGGAAUCAGCUGAUCUGUGGGUGUUUGUCUGCGUUGUCCAUGAGGAGAGGAAACAGCGCGGUUGACUCCGAGGGAGGGCAAAGCUGCCAACAAGAGAGACAGUCUCAGACACGCAUCAACCUCGCGUCCAUCUGGGUCCUUACUUGAGCUUUGCUUCGCCAGAGCACAGGCCCAGCACCACUGCCUGGCCCAACCGGAGCGGUGAAGACACCGCAGAACCAGCACCAAAUGCGAGGCCUGUGGUGUCGCAGGGAGACUGGAAACAAGGGGCCUCUCUGAAGGCAUCAGAUGCCAGGCUCUUGGGAGAAAAUGGCCCCUUCCAGAAAUGCAAUCCUGUCAAAGACUAAAGCGCCCUGUAAGCACUACAGCAGGGUGCAGCCGCACUCCCCUGCCAGCCUGCUCUGCACGCAGCCACCGUCCAGAGAUCCUCAGGCCACGCAGCAGCCACCCAGCCAACCGCGUGGCCAGCAGUCAGAGUCAGGUGUGUCUGGGGGUGUGAACUUUGAGCAAGCC